rnacentral:rRNA from 1 species
UACGUAGGGGGCGAGCGUUGUCCGGAAUCAUUGGGCGUAAAGAGCGUGUAGGCGGUUCGGUAAGUCGGCUUUGAAAGUCCAGGGCUCAACCCUGGGAUGCCGGUCGAUACUGCCGGACUAGAGUUCGGAAGAGGCGAGUGGAAUUCCCGGUGUAGCGGUGAAAUGCGCAGAUAUCGGGAGGAACACCUAUGGCGAAGGCAGCUCGCUGGGACGUUACUGACGCUGAGACGCGAAAGCGUGGGGAGCAAACAGG